UGCUCCUGCAUGCGGCGUAUAACAUGGAAUGUUUCUCCAAAGUGAUCGUGCUCUACCAAAUUCUGGCACUGCAAUGGUUCAGUCCUAAGCGGCAACGAACCUUCGACUGUGAAUCGCUGUUUUUCAUUACGCUAAACUUUUGCAUUAUUACGGGGCUCUUCUGUUGGAUCUAUCAGCACCAAUCGUUGGUGAUUUAUUCCGACAACGCGCUAGGAUAUGUGGUAGAUUUUUUCAAAUUUCUGCUCAUGGUUUUCACCUACUAUUCACUUUUGCUCGAGAGUGGCUACCAGCGCGGCGUGCUGUAUAAAGUUUGGGACGAGCUGGAACGACUGCACAACAUUUUCCCGAGCGCGAAGUGGGCUCUACUGCCCCAGGCACACCUGCGUACGGUUGCACUGUUUGUCGUGUAUAUGUCCUGGUGGGAGCUUACGUAUGCGUACUGGAUAACAAAGUCAGCUCGCAGUUCCAACUUUACCAUCUUGUUCUGGGUGCUGUUUCUGUUGCUACAUCUGCGACAGCUACAAAUCCUGCUCUAUACCAAUGUGUUGGGCUUUUGUCUGAAGGCAAUAAACAGUGAGCUAGCAUGGACGAUCGAGCUAAGCAAUGGUGCCAGCCGGUACGGGGGUCGUCGAAGUGAUGGACAAAUUUGUGGCUAUCUGCGCAAGCUAAUGGAAGGAUUUGCACGAGUCGAGCGGUUGCUCGAGUUACUUAACCAAGCGUUCGGCUACUCAUUGGCCAUUAUAAAGCUGAUCAAUAACAUCUACAUACUAACGGACACGUACUGGAUUGUUCAUGGGUUUAUGAGCGGCAAAGUGUUUGGCUCAUUGUAUUUGGAGUGUUGUCUGUCGUCGAAAUUCAUCUGUUUGAUAAUCAAUCUCCACUCCAACGAGCGCAUCUUGUCGGAGUUUCAUCGUACGCGGGUGCUACUACACUGCGUUCACCUUCGGUGGCAGUUACGGUGCGAUCAGGGCUGGCAGAUGGUACAACACUUUCUGCUAAAACUAGAAUCCACUCAACCGUUUGCGAUGACGCCAUUAAGUAUGUACCGGUUGAACUAUGGCACUUUAAUGCAGAUAGCUUUCAACAUCACUACAUCGAUUUCACUCUUCAUUCAGGCGUCGCAGUAGCUGUACUAUUAGCAAGAGUCGAGUUGCUUGCAGUGGUUGCGUCUGUUGGCGUAUCCUCCUUGGGCAUGAAUUGUAUGAAAAUUACCAUCAAGGACGUCUACUAAACCUCCUUCAGCAGCACAAAAUCCAUAUCGAAGAAACCACCGAGUGAAAAGGACAUUGGAGUGUGUUGAAGCAGGAGCGAAAAGUUUUCUAACUGCAAAAAAUAAUAUGAGUCAAUCAGAAAGAAAACACAAAUGAAAAUAAAUAAAAAAAAGCACAAAUGGAGCCCCUUGUCAGAAAUGCACCAUCAGUAAGCCUCGUCUAAGUCAUACGUUAUGUAUUCUUCAUUCGUCAUUUUUUGUAGCGAAGCUACUCCUUUUGCUCUCUUACUUAUUUAUUGACUGAUUAGAUCUGAAAGCACACAGCACACGCUCCAUCAUAUUGCAACGUGACACCGUGUCACCGUAACAAUGACCGACACAAGGGCGUACGGGACCGAAUACGAACCAUUUUCGCGAGCAAAUCUGCCUCAUCACCGUGCAGCCGUUUGUACAGCAACUGUCCCA